rnacentral:sRNA from 1 species
GCACUGGCAAAAUCCAGUGCCGGGAUUGAGACCCCGUUUGUAGACAUAGGCGCAUAGACGCCAGCUUCCUGCUGGUUUUUU